rnacentral:tRNA from 1 species
GCUGGUGUGGCUCAGUGGGUAGAGCGUCGGCCUGCGGACUGAAGGGUCCCAGGUUCGAUUCCGGUCAAGGGCA